rnacentral:lncRNA from 1 species
CACUGCUAACUUCCAGGUCAAGUUUAGGGUGCAGGGCAUCCAGCAGUACAGAAGAUACAUUUGUCUCAAGGAAUUCAGAGGCCAAAAUUCCUAGAAUCCAUGUUGCUCUCUUCUCCUAUAUAAAAUAGCAAUAAUGGGAGUUCUUAUCUCAUGGAAACAAAUCUGACGUGUAUCCAUGAGGAUACAGGUUCGAUCCCUGGCCUCGCUCAGUGGGUUACAGAUCCAGUGUUGCCAUGAGCUGGGGUGUAGGUCACAGAUGCAGCUUGGACCUGGCAUUGCUAUGGCUGUGGCAUAGGCCGGCAGCUUAGCUCUGAUUCGACCCCUAGCCUGGGAACCUCCCUAUGCCAAGGGUGCGGCCCUAAAAAGACAAAUAAAAUAAAAUAGCAAUAAUGAUAGUAACAAACACUGAGAGCCAUUUAGUGGACAAUUAUUACAUGCAAGGUCAGUGCCAGACACAAUCUACAUAAACUAUUGCUAAUAUUCAUCAUAAUUCCUUGCGGGUAUGCAUCACUAUUCCCAUGGAGGAAAGAGAUUGAGGCUGGAAGAGUGAGGGUGAUUAAUUGAAUUGCCAGAAGUUCUGCAGCCACAAAUGAUAGAGCUGGAUUUCAACCCAGCUCCUACAGAUUUUAAUAAAGCCCUCUCCUCCCCAGACUGCCUCUGCUGGACUUCACCCCGCCCUCCUCCCAGGCACAAAGCUUUGCAGACGGCUGCCAUUUCCACAGGACCUCAUUUAAUCCCCACAAGCACCUGGAGAGGCAGGACCCUUCAUUAGCAGACCCAUGUGCCACUGGAGGGAUCUAAGUGCAGGUGAAAGAAUCUGCCAACCGUAGCUCAGCCCGCGAGUUAUAAAGAUUAUAAAGACAUUGCGUGUCUUAAGAUCAAAUAAAAGGCAACUCUGAGGCUGCUGCUUGGUGAGAAGCCUUCUGCAGAGGCGAAAAAUAUGUGCAAACAAAACCAACAGCUUUCUUUAUGUUCCCCAAAGUUGCUAAAAAUGCCUGCGGGUUUGCACACAAGCAGACGCCCGUGCUGACAGUGCUGUGUGGCUUCUGUCUUUGGCGCUGGCAAGAAAAGACCUGGCAGGUAUUUCUCACGUCUUUGUUAAACACACACACCAGACAAGGGGAGGCGUUCCAAGGUAGGCCCAGGGUGUGGAUUUCUGCCAAGUCUCCUUUUUAUUUGCUGUUAAGUUAGGGGGGAAAAAAAGACAUCUCAUGGGUGAGCCGCUGAUCCCUUGAGGUGACUGUGGAGUGGUGAAAAAUGCCUCCUCUGUACUGGGAGUCAGACAGUCGUGUCCUAAUUUGGCUUCUUUUACCGGCAAGCCCUAUGACCUUGACCAGUUUGCUUUGCCUUGCUGAGCAAGCCUCCGUCUGCCCAUCUAUAAAAUGGAUAAUGUCUUCUGGAGGAACUAAAUAUAAGCUCCAUAAGGGACUUUUGUCUGUGCAGUUUGCUCCUGCAUUCUGCUGCCUAAAACAGUGCCUGACACAGAGUAAGUGCUCUUAGUUGAAUGAAGAAAGAGUGAGUGAAUGAAUGAAUGAAUGAGUGGCCAUCUUGCAGGGCUGCUGUAAGGUUGAAAUAAGAUCACGGAUGUGAAAUUGCUUUCCCAACUGCAAAUUGCUUCACGUUCGUGAGGAUGUUUUAUCGUACAGAACAUUGUCUGGUUUCUCUCAAAUGAAUUUGUUCAGUCGAUGGGUCAGCGAUUGCUGAGUGAGCUUUUUCUUGGGUCUGGCAUUGGGAUCCAGGGGAAUAGGAGACCUGAUUCCUCCUUUCAGGUGCUCACAGUCCACUAGGAAAGUAUACAAAGAAAUACUAAAAUACAGCAGAGGUAAACAUGGAUGCUGUGAGAACAGACAGG